ACCCACUGAGCCACCCACGCGCCCCCAGUUUUUUUAUCCUGACCUUUCAAUUUCCUUUCCCCAAUUACGGCUGUUUCUUGGGGAAGACAUGAUUGCUCUUAUACUCAUUUUCAUGUGAAGUGUGUCAAGUCUGUGUGUCAUCUUCCCAACCUGAGGGGUCAGCUCCUUGAGAACGAGGUGCUUGCCGCCUGAUUCCUGGUUUCUCCCCUGGACCACAGCAGACGCCGGAGUUCAUGUCUGCUAAUGGCUCAUUUCAUUCCAGUGCCACAGCCGGGCUAGCGAGUUCGAAGCCGUGAGGACAAUUUGCAAUUGUGUCCUGUGAGAUGGACGGGAACACGUGAUGCCAGUUGGGCAGGGACCGCAAAUGACUCAGAUUCUGAAGCAGUUUGUUCUCCUGGUGGUGAUUCCUGAAGUCUCCAGGAAGCUUGUGGGGGCGCCCAGGACUCUGCAUUCGCCGUUGCACUUGGAAUGCAAGGAGCAUCAGAGAAGGAGAUUGACAGCUCUCUGCGAACAGGAGCUCCCUCCCUCCUGGUCACCACGGCAUCCCUGUGGCCUGUCAAGGCCCGAAGGACAUGAUGAGUCCACAGGGACGAGAGGAUCCAGGGCGUCCCAGAGAGGGAAGCCCCUUGGACAAUGACAGUCCUCACUCUGGAGCCGGGACACGACUCCCUCGUGGAAAGUUCACAAGGGACCAGCCCCGUGAGAGCAGUGUUCCGGGAGCGCUUUUCUGGGAGCACUCUUCUGACCACAACAGGUGGCGCAGAGGGAGUCUGACAGGAGCUUCAUGGCUCGAGAAUCCUGGCAGGUGUACAGGUGUCGCCCAAGUGAUGGGCGACACCUGGAGACCUGACGGAGUGGCCCAGGCCCCACAGGGAGAUGCCCCGCGAGCUAGGUCUUCCAAGGAGCCCCAGCCCAAGCUGAAAUCCGUCACGCCUGAGCAAACGUGUCCUUCUUGGGAAGUACCCAUGCUGUUUAAGUGCCUUCUGUAUGCAAAGUUUGUCCUUUUAGCGGUUUUGUUAAAUGUUCAUAAUGGGUAACUUCGAAAAUGGCUUCCACGUGCUUCCUUGCCUUCUCGGGGAAAAGAAAGGGCACAGAAUUUUCCCUAGCGCCCCGGGGACCGUGGGAUCUGCGUGCUGCUGUGUGGCCCUGACCCCAGGGCUGCGGGCAGGCUGUCGGCGCACGCUGCAGAGCCUGGACCGCUGGGCUGUGUGGAUUCCCACUCUAGUUCUGUUCCGGUUGUCCAGUCGUCCGGUCUGGCCCCUCUUCGUGUCCUCGUCGGCGUGUCUGCCCUGGCCUUCCUGUGGCUGCUUCAUCUGCUGAGGGACAAGGGGGGACCAGAGCGCCCAGCUCAUUCCAGUUCUGUCCACUUACCCCUCCGGCAGUGGCCGGUGCGAGACAGGAGUGCCGACUAAUGGUUUUUAAGAUUUUUUAUUAUUUUUGGUUCACUUGGAUGGCUCAGUCGG